rnacentral:rRNA from 1 species
UACAGAGGUCUCAAGCGUUGUUCGGAUUCAUUGGGCGUAAAGGGUGCGUAGGUGGCGCGCUAAGUCAGGUGUGAAAUUUCGGAGCUUAACUCCGAAACUGCAUUUGAUACUGGCGUGCUUGAGGACUGGAGAGGAGACUGGAAUUUACGGUGUAGCAGUGAAAUGCGUAGAGAUCGUAAGGAAGACCAGUGGCGAAGGCGGGUCUCUGGACAGUUCCUGACACUGAUGCAC